rnacentral:rRNA from 1 species
UACAGAGGUCUCAAGCGUUGUUCGGAUUUACUGGGCGUAAAGGGCGCGUAGGCGGUCGUGACAAGUCACUUGUGAAAUCUCCGGGCUUAACUCGGAACGGUCAAGUGAUACUGUCGUGCUAGAGUACAGAAGGGGCAACUGGAAUUCUCGGUGUAGCGGUGAAAUGCGUAGAUAUGCGGAGGAACACCGAUGGCGAAGGCAAUCCCCUGGGCCUGCACUGACGCUCAUGCACGAAAGCGUGGGGAGCAAACAGG